AUUGAACGCUGGCGGCAGGCCUAACACAUGCAAGUCGAACGAGUGGCGGACGGGUGAGUAAUGUCUGGGAAACUGCCCGAUGGAGGGGGAUAACUACUGGAAACGGUAGCUAAUACCGCAUACCAUCGGAUGUGCCCAGAUGGGAUUAGCUAGUAGGUGGGGUAACGGCUCACCUAGGCGCCGAUCCCUAGCGGGUCUGAGAGUAUGACCGGCCACACUGGAACUGAGACACGGUCCGGACUCCUACAGGAGACAGCAGUGGGGAAGAUUUCACAAUGGGCGCAAGCCUGAUGCAUCCAUAGCGCGUGUAUAUUGAAGGCCUUCGGUUUGUAAAGUACUUUCAGCGGGGUGGCGUUACCCGCAAAAGAAGCACCGGCUAACUCCGUGCCAGCAGCCGCGGUAAUAC
rnacentral:rRNA from 1 species